GAUGAACGCUGGCGGCGUGCUUAAUACAUGCAAGUCGAACGAACAGACGCCGACCUUGCUCCUCACACGUUUGCCGCGCACGGGUGAAUAACACGUGGAUACCCUACCUACAAGAGUGGGAUAACUGCGGGAAACCGGAGCUAAUCCCGUAUAAUAUAUUGAUCCGCAUGGUUCUAUAGAGAAAGACGGUGUUGCUUUCACUUAUAGAUUGUCCCGCGCUGCAUUAGCUAGUUGGUUAGGUAACGGCUUACCAAGGCCACGAUGCGUAGCCGACCUGAGAGGGGGGUCGCCGACACUGGAGCUGGGACGCGGUCCAGGCUCCUACGGGAGGCAGCAGUAGGGAAUCUGCCGCAAUGGGCGAGAGCCUGACGGAACAACGGCGCGUGAGUGAUGGAGGUCUUCGGAUCGGAAAGCUCUCUUAUUAGGGAAAAACAAAUGUGUCAGUAACUAUACCCGUAUUGACGGUACCUAAUCAGAAAGCAACGGCUAACUACGUG
rnacentral:rRNA from 1 species